AAGGAAUUAGUUAAAUUAUAAUAUAAGGUUGUCAGCCUUAUGUUGCUAACUUAGAUUUAGUAUUUCUUA
rnacentral:tRNA from 1 species